GGCAGUGUAGCAUAGUAGUAAGGAGCAGGGCUUGUAACCCAAAGGUUGUUGGUUCGAUUCCACACGGGGACA
rnacentral:tRNA from 1 species